CUGCUGCCUUCCGUAGGAGUCUGGGCCGUGUCUCAGUCCCAAUGUGGCCGUCCACCCUCUCAGGCCGGCUACUGAUCGUCGCCUUGGUAGGCCGUUACCCUGCCAACCAGCUAAUCAGACGCGGGCCCAUCUCGCACCACCUGGGUUUUCAGGGCAGGGGCAUGCGCCCCCGCCCGCUAUGCGGUGUUAGCACCUAUUUCUAAGUGUUAUCCCCCAGUGCGAGGCAGGUUGCCCACGCGUUACUCACCCGUCCGCCA
rnacentral:rRNA from 1 species